CAAUAGCGUAUAUUAACGUUGUUGCAGUUAAAAAGCUCGUAGUUGGAUUUCUGGAGGGAGCGUCGGCCCGUAUUUACGAGUGCGUGACGUCUCUGUCCAUCCUUGCGGGAAGGCACGGCAUUGAUUUGUUGUGUCGGAUCGCAUCAUGUACUGUGAAAAAAUUAGAGUGUUCAAAGCAGGCUUUCGCUUGAAUACAUUAGCAUGGAAUAAUAAGAUAGGACUUUGGUGCUAUUUUGUUGGUUGAGCCUAAAGUAAUGAUUAAUAGGGAUAGUUGGGGGCACCUGUAUUGCGUUGUCAGAGGUGAAAUUCUUGGAUUUACGCAAGACAAACAGCUGCGAAAGCGUCUGCCAAGGAUGUUUUCAUUAA
rnacentral:rRNA from 1 species